GCAAAACGCGAAGAACCUUACCUACCCUUGACAUGCCAGGAAUCCCGCAGAGAUGUGGGAGUGCCCGAAAGGGAACCUGGACACAGGUGCUGCAUGGCUGUCGUCAGCUCGUGUCGUGAGAUGUUGGGUUAAGUCCCGCAACGAGCGCAACCCUUGUCACUAGUUGCUACGAAAGGGCACUCUAGUGAGACUGCCGGUGACAAACCGGAGGAAGGUGGGGAUGACGUCAAGUCCUCAUGGCCCUUAUGGGUAGGGCUUCACACGUCAUACAAUGGCCGGUACAGAGGGCUGCCAACCCGCGAGGGGGAGCUAAUCCCUGAAAACCGGUCGUAGUCCGGAUUGCAGUCUGCAACUCGACUGCAUGAAGUCGGAAUCGCUAGUAAUCGCGGAUCAGCAUGUCGCGGUGAAUACGUUCCCGGGUCUUGUACACACCG
rnacentral:rRNA from 1 species